GCGGCUACUGCUAUCAGGUUUCGACUAAGCCAUGCGAGUCAAGGGGUCGUAAGACACCGGCGUACUGCUCAGUAACACGCGGACAAUCUACCCCCAGGUGGAGGAUAACCUCGGGAAACUGAGGCUAAUACCCCAUAGUUGUCAUGUGCUGGAAUGCUUUGACGAUGAAAGAAUUUCGCCUGAGGAUGAGUCUGCGGCCUAUCAGGUAGUAUGUGGUGUAAAGGACCACAUAGCCUAAGACGGGUACGGGCCUUGAAAGAGGGAGCCCGGAGAUGGACUCUGAGACACUAGUCCAGGCCCUACGGGGCGCAGCAGGCGCGAAAACUGUGCAAUGCGCGCAAGCGCGACACGGGAAGCCUGAGUGCCUUAACUAUGUUAAGGCUUUUCUUGAUCCUAAAAAGCUCAAGGAAUAAGAGCUGGGUAAGACGGGUGCCAGCCGCCGCGGUAACACCCGCGGCUCGAGUGGUAGUCACUUUUAUUGAGCCUAAAGCGUUUGUAGCCGGAUUUGUAAAUCUCUAGGAAAAUACUUCUGCUUAACUGAAGAAAUUUUGGAGAGACUGCAAAUCUAGGGACCGGGUGAGGUUGAAUGUACUUCUGGGGUAGGGGUAAAAUCCUGUAAUCCUGGAAGGACGACCGGUGGCGAAGGCGUUCAACUAGAACGGAUCCGACGGUGAGGAACGAAGGCUAGGGGAGCAAACCGGAUUAGAUACCCGGGUAGUCCUAGCUGUAAACACUGCCCACUUGGUGUUGCAUCUCCGGUAAGGGGGUGCAGUGCCGUAGCGAAGGUGUUAAGUGGGCCGCUUGGGGAGUAUGGUCGCAAGGCUGAAACUUAA
rnacentral:rRNA from 1 species